AUGGCAGCGGGUGGAGCUAUUACAAACAAGACACUUGAUGAAGCUUUUCUGCUGAUUGAGAGCAUAGCUUUCCACCAACUUCAGUGGUACAAUAAGAAGCCCACGUCUGAUUCAUUGGUUUGCUUGCAACAAAUCACUACACCUCAACCACCAAUUCUUACACAAAAGCAUGAGCCUCUAUCUCAGUGUGACAAGAUUGAGCUUGCAUGGAUUAUCUUUGACAAUGAUGACACCAUUUUAGUUGACACACACGCUACAGAUCAUAUGGAUACUAGUGUUGGAGAUUCGGUUUUGCAUUGUGAUGAUUCUUCCAUGGAUGAGCCAGAGCUGCAGUUAGUUGUUUUUGAUAUUGAGGAGUCACCUUUAGUUGAUAUUGAUCAUGUGCUGCUAGAGCCAGAUAUGGAGAAGUUCACCUUUGAUGAUGUUAGCCGCAUUGCUUCCUCAACACUUGAGCCUGAGAUGGAGAGCUUCAUGGUUGAGUAUGGUGAGGUCGAUUCAGAUGUCAAGGAGCCAAGCUCUACUAUUUCACUUGUUGACACGAGUCCGGUUGAAAUUUCUACUACCACACCUCACUUGGUAUCUUCAAUUGAGAUAGUCCUGAAGCUUCUUCCUAACUAUCUUAGGCUGACCAAGUUCGAGAUGACAUCCCAUGGGAUCCUGGUGGAUUCACGGCAUGGUGAUGAGGAGAAGCAAAGAGCACACAUGAGGAAGAGUGAAGCUGGAGCAGGCAUGAGGAUAGAGAAGUAA
rnacentral:rRNA from 1 species